AUUGAACGCUGGCGGAAUGCUUUACACAUGCAAGUCGAACGGCAGCACGGACUUCGGUCUGGUGGCGAGUGGCGAACGGGUGAGUAAUGUAUCGGAACGUGCCCAGUCGUGGGGGAUAACGUAGUGAAAAUCACGCUAAUACCGCAUACGAUCUAUGGAUGAAAGCGGGGGAUCGCAAGACCUCGCGCGAUUGGAGCGGCCGAUAUCAGAUUAGGUAGUUGGUGGGGUAAAGGCCCACCAAGCCAACGAUCUGUAGCUGGUCUGAGAGGACGACCAGCCACACGGGAACUGAGACACGGUCCAGACUCCUACGGGAGGCAGCAGUGGGGAAUUUUGGACAAUGGGCGAAAGCCUGAUCCAGCCAUUCCGCGUGCAGGAUGAAGGCCCUCGGGUUGUAAACUGCUUUUGUACAGAACGAAAAGGUUUCUACUAAUACUAGGAGCUCAUGACGGUACUGUAAGAAUAAGCACCGGCCAACUACGUGCCAGCAGCCGCGGUAA
rnacentral:rRNA from 1 species